UACAGAGGUCUCAAGCGUUGUUCGGAUUCAUUGGGCGUAAAGGGUGCGUAGGCGGCGCGGUAAGUCGGGUGUGAAAUCUUGGAGCUUAACUCCGAAACUGCAUUCGAUACUGCCGUGCUGGAGUGUGGGAGAGGUGCGUGGAAUUCCCGGUGUAGCGGUGAAAUGCGCAGAUAUCAGGAGGAACACCGGUGGCGAAGGCGGGUCUCUGGGCCGAAAUUGACGCUGAGGAGCGAAAGCGUGGGGAGCAAACAGG
rnacentral:rRNA from 1 species